rnacentral:tRNA from 1 species
AAGAAAGUGGCAGAGUGGGUAUGCGGCUGGCUUGAAACUAGCCCACGGGGGUUCGAUUCCUCCCUUUCUCG